CAGACAGACAGACACACACACAAAAUAUUUUAGUCACAAUCCUGUUUCCUACCUUUUUAGGUGCAGGAGGGUGACUUUCCCUGGGGUCCAGUGGUGGCUCAGGUGGAUGGGAGUCAGAGUUCCUACUCUGACUCCCUGGUCUUCCUCCCGCGCGGUCUGUGUGUUAGCUGGGAGGAGUGACGUGCAGUCACUUCCUCCCAGCGUGUGAUGUAAUAACAGACCGGCCCCCUCACAAUCCACAUCCAUCG